ensembl:lncRNA
CAGAGGCGUCCCACAUACAAAAUAGAGGAAGACUGGCACAGAUGUUAUCUCAGGGCCAAUCUUCCUCACCAAAAAUAAAAGAAGAUACCUGUAACUCCUAAAAGUUUACUCGUGCACUUUGCAAUCCUAUCCUCCCACCUACCCUGCCCUCCUCCCAUUCCCAAAUAACCACUCGUUUGUUUUCUCUCACUGCAGAUUUGUUUGCAUUUUCUAGAAUUUUAUAUAAGUGAAAUCAUACAGUAUGUUUUCCUUUUUGUCUGGCUUCUUUCACUCAGCAUAAUUAUUUUGAGAUUCACGCAUGUUGUUGUGUGCAUGAAUAAUUCAUUCCUUUUUUUCCGGCUGGCUAGUAUUCAAUUGUAUGGAUAGACCACAUUUUGUUUAUCCAUUCACUGGCUGAUAGUCAUUUGGUUUGCUUCCAACUUUUGGUUAUUACAAAUAAAGCUGCUACGAACGUUUGCGGUCCAAGUCUACUUGGAGACAUAUGUUUUCAUUUCUCAUAGGUAAAUACCUAGAAGUGGAACAGCCAGAUCAUAUGAUUAUUAUAUAUUUAACUUUUUAAGACAUGGCAAACUAUUUUCCAAAGUAGCUGUGCCACUUUUCCUUUCCUUUCUAACAGCAGUGGACGAGAGUUCCAGUUGCUCCAUAUCCUUGCCAGCACUUGCUAAGAAUCCAUCGUUCUGGGUGCCACAACCUUAGAAGGUCUCCAUCAGGCUCCAGAGGUAACAGAAGUGGCAAGUGGACUGUCUGAAAUGUGUCAGCUGAGGAGCGGACAAAGGAAUUAGGGCCAUCUAGCCAGAAGAGAGAGCUCACAGCUGUGGUAUGAAAAUGGUCUUCAGACACUUGAAGGCCCGUGUCUGACCCAGAACAUAUCAUUCUUUAAUGCUCCCUCUAGAUGAUAAAAACAUUUUCAGUAUUAAUCACGUAAUGAUCAAUAAGGAUCAUCAUUGUCUUGAUUGAUUGUUCCAUUUUAAAACAAUUAACAAUUAGGAAGUAGGAACACAUUUCAAUUUUACAUAUAUUGUUGAAAUUCAGUAAAAUAGUUCAUGCAUGAACUAAAAUUAGCCCUGAGCACACAGAAGUAUUACACCUUGUCACUCACACACUGUUGCCCUGUUUUAAAUUUUAAACACAAAAACUCCAAGUGGCCACAUAGAGUGACAGAAUCGAAGUAGGUUAAGUUCUGUUUCUUGAUCUUUACAAUCACUGUACUAUUUUCUUUUUAAUCUACUGUUUAAAUGACGAAUCUGUUACACCAUAGACUCUGGAGUCAUAAACUGUGCCCAAUGAUUUCAUGUCUUUAUAAACUUACAUUGAAACCAACAUAGCUGGGACCAGCCGUGUCAGGGACCAGCUGAGCAACUGGAAUUCUCUGAAUCAACAUCCUACAGGCAGACCGCAGUGUUUAUUAAAAGGUGAGUUAUUAGGGGCUGGCCCCAUGGCCGAGUGGUUAAGUUCGCGCUCUCUGCUGCAGGUGGCUCAGUGUUUCGUUGGUUCGAAUCCUGGGCGCGGACGUGGCACUGCUCAUCAAAUCAUGCUGAGGCAGCGUCCCACAUGCCACAACUAGAAGGACCCACAACAAAGAAUAUAAUACAACUAUGCACUGGGGGGCUUUGGGGAGAAAAGGAAAAAAAUAAAAUCUUUAAAAAAAAAAAGGUGAGUUAUUAAAAAGUUCUAGUUUUAAAUUUAUGCUUUGUGUUCUAUUUGAAUUCAUAUUAUAUAUUUAUAAUAUUAUAUAACCAUUUAUAUUUAUUGAAACUCAACAGGAACUGUAGCAAUUGUUCAGAACCUAAACCAACUCAGGGGAGAAUAUUUUGUCACAGACAUUGUUUAGAAUUGCUAUUGUAUUUUGAUAAUAAAAAUCGCUGUUGUACUUUGAUAAUGACUGACUGUUAG